rnacentral:tRNA from 1 species
GACAGAGUCAGCUAAGCAAGCUUUCGGGCCCAUACCCCGAAAAUGAUGGUUAAAGUCCCUCCUCUAUCA